rnacentral:misc_RNA from 1 species
GAUGAAGAACGCAUCGAAAUGCGAUAAGUAAUGUGAAUUGCAGAAUUCAGUGAAUCAUCGAAUCUUUGAACGCACCUUGCGCUCCUUGGUAUUCCGAGGAGCAUGCCUGUUUGAGUGUCAUGAAAUUCUCAACCUUUCUGGCUUUUGCUAGUCAGGCUUGGAUUAUGGGAGCUGCUGGCUUUUGAAGUCGGCUCUUCUAAAAUGUAUUAGCAAGAUCAUUGCUGCUCAUCAUUGGUAUGAUAAUUAUCUAUAUCAUUGAGAGUCAGUUUCCUUUAUUGGAAGAUUUUGCUCCUAACGGUCUUUAGCAAGACAACAUUUGACGAUUUUGACCUCAAAUCAGGUAGGACUACCCGCUGAACUUAAGCAUAUCAAUAAGCGGAGGA